UACGAAGGGGGCUAGCGUUGCUCGGAAUCACUGGGCGUAAAGCGCACGUAGGCGGACUUUUAAGUCAGGGGUGAAAUCCUGGAGCUCAACUCCAGAACUGCCUUCGAUACUGGAAGACUUGAGUCCGGGAGAGGUGAGUGGAACUGCGAGUGUAGAGGUGAAAUUCGUAGAUAUUCGCAAGAACACCAGUGGCGAAGGCGGCUCACUGGCCCGGUACUGACGCUGAGGUGCGAAAGCGUGGGGAGCAAACAGG
rnacentral:rRNA from 1 species